rnacentral:rRNA from 1 species
UACGUAGGGUGCAAGCGUUGUCCGGAAUUAUUGGGCGUAAAGAGCUCGUAGGUGGCCUGUCGCGUCGGCUGUGAAAACUCGGGGCUCAACUCCGAGCUUGCAGUCGAUACGGGCAGGCUAGAGUUCGGCAGGGGAGACUGGAAUUCCUGGUGUAGCGGUGAAAUGCGCAGAUAUCAGGAGGAACACCGGUGGCGAAGGCGGGUCUCUGGGCCGUAACUGACGCUGAGGAGCGAAAGCGUGGGGAGCGAACAGG